rnacentral:rRNA from 1 species
AUUGAACGCUGGCGGCAGGCCUAACACAUGCAAGUCGAACGAGUGGCGGACGGGUGAGUAAUGUCUGGGAAACGGCCUGAUGGAGGGGGAUAACUACUGGAAACGGUAGCUAAUACCGCAUACCAUCAGAUGUUCCCAGAUGGGAUUAGCUAGUUGGUGGGUUAACGGCUCACCAAGGCGACGAUCCCUAGCUGGUCUGAGAGGAUGACCAGCCACACUGGAACUGAGACACGGUCCAGACUCCUACGGGAGGCAGCAGUGGGGAAUAUUGCACAAUGGGCGCAAGCCUGAUGCAGCCAUGCCGCGUGAGUGAAGAAGGCCUUCGGGUUGUAAAGUGCUUUCAGCGGGGAAGCGUUACCCGCAGAGGAAGCACCGGCUAACUCCGUGCCAGCAGCCGCGGUAAUAC